GACAGACGAAAAACCGCGAGGCUCGCACAGAACAGAAAGUAAGGGCUUUGCCCGAGCCCUUUGCUUUCGUAUUCGCGAGCGGGUUAAGGUCUGAGUAUUCUAGUCAUUCUCGAUCGGUCCUAGCUGGACCAAGGCUUUAACGAGCCUUCGCAACGUAUCAGAAAUCCGACUUGCAGCUCUCCAGCUUCCUCGAGGCAGCCCAACGACUGGAUCUAUCCAGGAGGGUGGUUCUCCUCUCUUCGUGAUUGGGGAAGGCGGGCUGUGGGUCAUGGAAGUCGUUGCAAUGACCGGGUUGGCCAUGUAAAGCAAGGCUGUUGUUGUGCUCUUUCGGGCACUGGACGGUUUCCCCUGGGUGGCUUGAUCCUUUAGCUCACUUCGCGGUGCGCCAGUUACGGGCGGCCUUUUCCCUCGGGAGGGGUCGUCUUGGUGUAACUCGAUUCAGACUACUCUUCGUCUGUC
rnacentral:RNase_P_RNA from 2 species